CUUAGGAGAAAAGCAGACACUUUAUUUAAAUAUGGCUGAAUUAGAGACUGAACUGCUUUCAAACGGGAGACUUUGACAGUGUGUGUAGAAGUGCAAGUGUGCCCAAUCCUGAGUGUGUUUUCUGUGUGUACUCGUGCCUGCUUGUAUGUGGGUGGUUGCACGUGUCUCGUACUAAGGUUGUUUUCUUUUCUUGGCUUCAUUUUCAACCACUUAACCUUUGCUUGAGAAAAUUCUUUAGAGACUGAUGAUCCUUUUCCUUUUCCUCAGAGUGCAUGAAGCGUUAAAAACAGAAAAAAGCAACAUCACGCAAUAAAUCAAAGAUGAGAAAAACAGAGAACAAAGAUCAAAGUGAAGUGAUAAAAAUGAGUUGCCUCUGGACCUGUUGAGGCAGACGGAGGCUGCCUUUACCUUUACUAAGUGAGGAUGAAUUAGACCACCAUGGAGGAGAGAGCAAAGCUUGGCUCCCUGCCUGUGGGUUGAUGGAAGAGAGCUAUGAACUCUGGGAAAUGAGGGUCUAAACAGGCUGUAGAUCACUGAGCCCACUGGCUCUGUCUCUAUCAGACACAGCCUCUCCCUCGCUCAGACUCAAACACCCAGGCACACUCUAGCACUCCCACCGCACAUAGUCAAUAUCUAGAUUAAUCUCUGAGGGUGGAAUCAAUCAACAGACCCGGUGGCAUCUCAGAGAGCCCUGGAGGCUUGAUGGUCCUGCUGAAAGAGAGUGAUAUGUCCAGGUGCUUUAGAGAGAUCUCAGCAGAAAUCUCUUCCCCUCCAUCUUUCCACAUGAAGAUGACAGGGUGUUUCAUAGAGAUAUUGUUACUCACUGACACACUGAUGAACGAUCUGUGGAGAAAAUGUGGGUGGGAUGGGAGUUAAUGGGUUCAUUUUCUCUCUUCUUGACCAUUAGUUCUAAUUUUCUUUCUUUCUUUUUUUUUUAUCCUUUUUUGCGGUUAACACUCUUGCAGCCCUACAUUGUAAGCCAUCAAAUUGGCUCAUAGCACAACAAAAUAACAGGCUGAUAUGUAAUUUUCCUUCUUAUACUAUCACUAUAAUGGGCCCAACUGCACUAUUAUUUAUUUCUAAAUGUUUACUUUUGCCUGUGAGACAGUGCUUUUGCUUUUAAUGAUCAUACUACAAGCAACAUUAGCAUCAAGAGAAUAUAUAAGACACCUUUUGCAAAAUUCAACAAGUCAUCUGGGAGUAUUUUUAAAAGCCAGCAAUAUAACAUGAGCUUCAUUCAGGAGUGAUCUAAAGUGCUGUGGUGUACGUACAUGGAGUGUGUCACAGCCACACAUGUGCAGAGUCACAAGGAAACUAUGUGACACUGCAUUAUCAACAUGUCGCACACGUUUUGUGUCAGUUGGUCGAUGCACAUUUGCAACUUCUUCAUAGGCGGCGACCAGGCGAGGAGAAGAAAACAUCGUCGUGCCAGUCAGCAGUCUGUGAUGAGUCGACUUUUAUGUUAAGGAUUAUCAAGUCUUAGUCUGACAUAGGCAGACUGUUCUCUUUUGCUGUCACAAGCUUUGGCUUGUUAGUAUUUUUUUAAACCAAUCACAGUUUACUUGGAUGUAGCAAACCUCAAGAUUCAGCAACAUUCCCCUCAAAACAUUCAUGGAGGGAUUCUUGUGAUGGAACAUUUGCACACAGGGAGGUGAGCACUGUCAGUAAAACGUCUAACUCACCCUAAAACCUAGCAGUGCUGCCUCACUGCAGAUCUUCUGCAAAAUUCUAAAUUUUCAUUGUGGUAAGUUGAUCACCCACAUAUUGUUUUUCUGUCUCAUAGUGAAGGGAAUUUUGAAAGUGAUAACACAGAAAUCUCCUCUUAUUUUGCUACUUUCAGCCUCCUCAUCUCCUCCAGCUGGAGACAAAGGGCGUCUCAGUUCCUAAAACUGUAUGACCAGAAGUGAUUAUCCAGGAUCAAGGAGGCUUGCCGGAGGAGCUAUGAGCAAGGAUGCACAGUAAAUUUCCAAUGGUCACAGGGGGUGCUGGAGCCUAUCCCAGCUGACUCGGGCGAAGGCAGGGGACAUCAUGGACAGGUUGCCAGUCUGUCGCAGGGCUGUGACAAAGUCCCACACGAGGGACCAAGACAGGAGGAGAGGAAUCAAGAAAAAGAAUUGAGGUGGUACAUAGCAGAAGGGCUGGAAGAAAGCCUCCUGAGAUGUGAAGCCAAUGGCAAACUUCUACUCACAAUCUACAUCCGGUAAGCCAGACCACAUUAUUGCUGAUGAGAGGAGGGGUCUGCAGCUACCAUUUAGAGAGGAAAGAGCAGGUUUUACAAUGGAGGCGCUCAGAGUUGCCAAGAUCGGUCAAACUGCUUCAAGUCAGGAGUCAAGAGCAUUUUCUUUGGUUUCUUCAACAAUCACAUGGUUUUGCAUCAGAAAUUCAAUGUGAAGUCUGAUGGGGUAACAGUUAAGACAAUCUGAACAGCGGUGCAAUGGCAUGUGGGUGCUCUGUCCACUGUGCAUCCAGUUGCAGUAUGAUGCUCAUGCAUGUGUUUUUGGUCAUAACAACACAACUGUUGCUCUUCACUCACCUUAUUUGCCAGAUGUGGCUCCCUGUGACUUCUUCCUGUUCCCUAAAUUUAAAUUCAAGUUUAAGGGUUGCCAUUUUGACACUUUGCUUGUCACAGAUGAGGCUUGGCAGGCUUUGGGGUUUGCAGGGAGUGUUAAAAGUUUCGACCCAAGGAGACAACUGUGGUCUGCAUGUUGUCCAAUUUAAAAUUAG